CUUUCGAGCAAUUAGACUGACGACCAUCAUGAUCGAGACUAUUCCUCUCCUCCUUUCCUCUUUCCCUAAAGAUGGGAGGCCGUUGGUUGCUAUGAAAGCCUCUCCUCUCCAUGUUCAAAUGGAAUCGAUCACUCUUCGAUAACAUAUCCUUCUCCAUUCUCUUUUCCCUCUUUCUUCGAUCAACCUCCAUCAUUUUUUUUCUUCUUAUAUUUCUCAACCACUCUUCCUCUCCAACACAAUCAACCCUAACCUAACACUCUGAAAACCUAACUCAACACUCUGAAACCAUACCCC
rnacentral:lncRNA from 1 species